CGAGCGGCGGACGGGUGAGUAAUGCUUGGGGAACUGCCCAGUCGAGGGGGACAACUAUUGGAAACGAUAGCUAAUACCGCAUACGCCCUACGGGGGAAAGGAGGGGACUCUUCGGAGCCUUUCGCGAUUGGAUGUACCCAAGUGGGAUUAGCUAGUUGGUGAGGUAAUGGCUCACCAAGGCGACGAUCCCUAGCUGGUUUGAGAGGAUGAUCAGCCACACUGGAACUGAGACACGGUCCAGACUCCUACGGGAGGCAGCAGUGGGGAAUAUUGCACAAUGGGCGAAAGCCUGAUGCAGCCAUGCCGCGUGUAUGAAGAAGGCCUUCGGGUUGUAAAGUACUUUCAGCGAGGAGGAAAGGUUAGUAGUUAAUAACUGCUAGCUAUGACGUUACUCGCAGAAGAAGGACCGGCUAACUCCGUGCCAGCAGCCGCGGUAAUACGGAGGGUCCGAGCGUUAAUCGGAAUUACUGGGCGUAAAGCGUACGCAGGCGGUUUGUUAAGCGAGAUGUGAAAGCCCCGGGCUCAACCUGGGAACUGCAUUUCGAACUGACAAACUAGAGUUUUGUAGAGGGUGGUAGAAUUUCAGGUGUAGCGGUGAAAUGCGUAGAGAUCUGAAGGAAUACCAGUGGCGAAGGCGGCCACCUGGACAAUAACUGACGCUCAUGUACGAAAGCGUGGGGAGCAAACGGGAUUAGAUACCCCGGUAGUCCACGCCGUAAACGAUGUCAACUAGCCGACUGGUCCCUUGAGGACUGGGUGGCGCAGCUAACGCAUUAAGUUGACCGCCUGGGGAGUACGG
rnacentral:rRNA from 1 species